rnacentral:rRNA from 1 species
UAAGUAAUUUUGACUGUGCGAGGUAGCAUAAUAAUUAGUUUCUUUAUUGGGAACUGGAAUGAAUGGUUGGACGAAAUGAUUACUGUCUCUUUUUUAUUUUGAUGAAUUUUACUUUUGAGUUAAAAGGCUCAAAUUUUUUUAAAAGACGAGAAGACCCUAUAGAGUUUUAUUAUUUCUUUAAWUKUUAAAUUGUUAGUAUAGAAAUUUUCAAUUUUA